rnacentral:rRNA from 1 species
GCCUACGGGGGGCAGCAGUAGGGAAUAUUGCUCAAUGGGGGAAACCCUGAAGCAGCAACGCCGCGUGGAGGAUGAAGGUUUUCGGAUUGUAAACUCCUUUUGUUAGAGAAGAUAAUGACGGUAUCUAACGAAUAAGCACCGGCUAACUCCGUGCCAGCAGCCGCGGUAAUACGGAGGGUGCAAGCGUUACUCGGAAUCACUGGGCGUAAAGAGCGCGUAGGCGGGAUAGCAAGUCAGAUGUGAAAUCCUAUGGCCUAACCAUAGAACUGCAUUUGAAACUGUUAUUCUAGAGUAUGGGAGAGGUA